UGGAGUUCAGGGAAUAGGAAUAUCUACAGGAAAGCUGGAUAUGUAUGUUGCUGUUGCUGGCAUAAACCCUCAAAGAUGAAAGAGGCACUAUCAGCAUUGACAUGUACAUGUGAUUUUAGGCAUGAACCAGGAGAGUGAGAGUUUUAGUGUGCCGUGUUUAGAAUUUGCCGAUAUCUUUUUCCCGUUCCAGCAAGUAUUCCUGAUUGUGGGGAUUCUUCCAGUAAUGCUAGAUAUUGGUACUAACAACGAGAAGUUACUUAAUGAUUCUCUUUGAUUUAUUGGAGUUGAGGAGUCCCACAAUCUUUAUGUUCUGUUUGUUUUUCCAUCACUUUUUCAAGGCUGUUCAAUUGGAGUUCCAUCUUCAGAUGGAAGUCGUAUUCUUGGCCUCGGUGACCUUGGAGUUCAGGGAAUAGGAAUACCUAGAUUGGAGGGAGAAGAGUAUCUAUCUAUUGUUGAUGAAUUUAUGGAAGUCGUGCAUACAUGUUGGCCUAAAGCUAUUGUCAGUUUGAGGAUUUUCAAAUGAAAUGGGCUUUUGAAACAUUACAACGUUAUCGUAAGAGGUUCUGCAUGUUCAACGAUGACA